rnacentral:rRNA from 1 species
CCUACGGGCGGCAGCAGUGAGGAAUAUUGGUCAAUGGACGAGAGUCUGAACCAGCCAAGUAGCGUGAAGGAUGACUGCCCUAUGGGUUGUAAACUUCUUUUAUAUGGGAAUAAAGUGUUCCACGUGUGGGAUUUUGUAUGUACCCUAUGAAUAAGGAUCGGCUAACUCCGUGCCAGCAGCCGCGGUAAUACGGAGGAUCCGAGCGUUAUCCGGGUUUAUUGGGUUUAAAGGGAGCGUAGGUGGAUGGUUAAGUCAGUUGUGAAAGUUUGCGGCUCAACCGUAAAAUGGCAGUUGAAACUGGCAGUCUUGAGUACAGUAGAGGUGGGCGGAAUGCGUGGUGUAGCGGUGAAAUGCUUAGAUAUCACGAAGAACUCCGAUUGCGAAGGCAGCUUACUGGACUGCAACUGACACUGAGGCUCGAAAGUGUGGGUAUCAAACAGGAUUAGAUACCCUUGUAGUC